rnacentral:rRNA from 1 species
AUUGAACGCUGGCGGCAGGCCUAACACAUGCAAGUCGAGCGGAGCGGCGGACGGGUGAGUAAUGCCUAGGAAUCUGCCUGGUAGUGGGGGAUAACGUCCGGAAACGGGCGCUAAUACCGCAUAUUUUCUGAUGAGCCUGGGUCGCAUUCGCUAGUUGGUGGGGUAAAGGCCUACCAAGGCGCCGAUCCGUAACUGGUCUGAGAGGAUGAUCAGUCACACUGGAACUGAGACACGGUCCAGACUCCUACGGGAGGCAGCAGUGGGGAAUAUUGGACAAUGGGCGAAAGCCUGAUCCAGUCAUGCCGCGUGUGUGAAGAAGGUCUUCGGAUUGUAAAGCACUUUAAGUUGGGAGGCGUUACCAAUAGAAUAAGCACCGGCUAACUUCGUGCCAGCCGCCGCGGUAAUAC